GGGCAACUAAACAAGGCCUGAGGUUCCAGAAACUUGGAUUGCGCCGUGUCUGGGACAUGGACCAAGAGACGUCCUUGUGUCAGUUAUGACAAGUUGGAACUUUUCAGUUGGCGGAUGCUGCUGGUGAAGGACCUCUGUCUCACGGCAUUGAAGGCCAGCUUGAUUGGGCUCGGCUACUCGGGAGAGCCCUAGAGAUGGAGCCGAAGACGGCGGCCAUGGCGAUUAAAGCAGCACGCAGGUCGGCCCACUACCGAACAGCCAUGGUGCAUGAUUGGUGGCGUCGCGGCCGGCGGAGGUUGCAGCCUUGCAGGCUCCGUCGAAGCCGGCGGAUCGGUGCCCAAGGUGCAGCGGCUGGCUGUGCGAGGGAGGCAUGGCGAUGGUGUUGACGGCCGCCGGCGGCCAGCGCAGCGCGACCUCGUCGAUCGCCAUGUCCGGCAGAUUACUUCACAAACGCCCCCCCUAUUUUGGAUCGCGAUUAUUAAUCGCAAUCCGAUUAUUUGUAAAAAAGACCCUUGAUACUUGAUAGCUUACAGGUACGCCCUCGUCCUCGAUCUAGGUAGGCAGGGGAAACACGCCGCCGCCGCCGCCCGCCGCACCUUUCGUCCCCCUUCCAUCCGCACGCCCUCAAUCCCAAGCGUCACCGGAGGAGAUUUCGACCGGGAGCGGUCGAUUCGCCGGCUCCGGCCUAUGCACGCGUCGUCGCCAUCCGUCGCCCUCGUCUGGUCAGCGCGGACAAGAUGGUGCCUCCGGUUGCGUCGCGCCGACGCCGACGGGGAAGCCUUCUGCAGGAACUCAUAUGCCAUUCGGCAAUUCAGGCGCACUACAUUUUUUCGCGGUGUAUUCAGGUGCAAUGUUUGGAGUUGAAGUAGAGAGAAAAGUCAUCUGCAGUGAGAAUACAUGCUAUUUAGUUCAGUUAUUCAUGUAGAGAUCCUGAGAACUUCAGGUUCAAAAGUUUCUGAACCUUUGUCUACUGCUAUAUUUGUGUAUCCUUAUCAUGUUGUUGACGACUUGGCAGUUGGCAUCAUCCUAAACCAGCUUCCGAUCACAUUUCAGGUGCCUACAAACGGAGUCGAAGUAGAGAGUAAAGGUAUCUACAGUUUUGAAGCUUAGCGGUACAGAGUCAGAGAGGGUAUCUACUAUUCAGUUCCUGAGAUCUUCAGAACACAAGUGGCUACCAGAGGUCGAUUAGCCACAUCAUCGGUCCAUCCUUGUUGAAUAGCAUCCAAUUGCUCGUCUUGCCUGAACCUUUUUUUCUCAGAGAUCGAAGAAAUGCACAGCUUCUGAACUUUGUGCACGAUUCAUCCACUGCCACCACUAUGAGCUGAUCAAGGAUACAAAAUGUGGCCAAAGUAAAAAUAAAAGUUAAGACUCCGCAAAUGAGUUGCUAGAUGCCCGUCACCUCUGGGAUGAUCACCUCGGACUUGUUCAUCAUCCUUAUGUUCCUCCUCUCACUGUCUGAACAUCUUGAGGCAUGACAAUUGCUUCUUGCAGGGGUACAAUCUGUUGAACUGCUCAAAACCGUGUUGCUGCUUCGCCUUUGAGUUGCGCUGCUCCAGUGCAAACUGAAUUUCUUCUACAGUUGUGGCACCAGGUGGAUGCAUCUGCUGGCUAAGGACAACGCUAGGGCUUCAGCUCCACCGUGACAACUGGGUCUUCAACAAUGUACAGUUGGUCACUCUCUGAGUCCAGGAAAAAAGGCGCUUGUGCUAAGUUUGGCCCAGCGAUCUUGUGUUGGUGGUUGGUCGUUUUCUAUUAUCUUUUGUGUGGCGAGAAUGUAAUCUAAUGAAAAGGAGGUGUGUGCGGGUGGGUUGUAAUCAAACUGCUUUUUUCUAUAUUAAUGCGAUGACGCGUCUAAUUCUCUUA